CCCCAUAAGAGAGCCUCCGUCAUCUCUUUCUCUCAACCAGCAGGAUACGCACUCACAUAUACAGAACAAAUACACCCAAAAAAAAACGGCCACCCACCCAAAAAGACCCCCCAUCGCCGCUUCUCCUUCAACCUAGAACACCCAAGAGAGGCUAGCGGCUGAAUUCCCCUUCACAAGAACCGCCGCCGGCCAGAUCUCCCUUCAACUCACACACACAGACGGAAACAACAAGCCCAAUCAGUAGCUACAGCUCCAAUAAAUAUUGGAACAAUUGGAAUAGGAAUCCAACGUUAAUUAGCACAGAAAUCACAACACCAUAUACACGGACACCGCAUCUCAAUUGAAGGUUGAUUCCAGUUCGAGUUCCCGUCGCCGGUUCGAGGUUCCAGGUCGAGUUCCGGUUGAAAAUUCUUCUCUUCGACUUUGUUGUUCUUUCUCGUUGGAUUUCGGAAUCAAGGGUUGUGUAUUGGCUGAUUUUUUUCCACUGUUAUAUUGAAGAAAAACUCUCUUAAUAGAGCUUUUGUUUCCAAGUUUUUGGUUCGAAUUAUCGCUGUCUACCGAGUGCCUUCAAUGUUCAGAGUUCCGUCGGUUCUUGUCACCGAAUUUCGCAGCUGUUUUUCGUGCUUCAACUGUUGUGUUUUGUUUUUUCGCAUAUCAAAUUGAUUGAAACUUCAUCUUCAGAUUUGGUUAUUUAUGUCUCUGCUUGAGUUUUUACCAAAUUAAAUUUGCUGGUUCGAACUAUGCCGUUGAGUUUGUGUUGGAAUUUUGAAUCAGAAUAUGCUUGAGUUUGUCGGUUCAUGACAGUUUCUGUUCGAGUUCGAGGAUUACGUGCGGCUUAGAUCUAAUUAACAUCAGAAGGGUUCUUGCUCUAACUGAGGUAAAUCUGUAAACCAUGAGAAGCAGAUGAUUGCAAGGAUCCAUGUGUGUCUGAAAAUUCUAAUGAAUGAGGAAUUGAAAGGAAUAUUGCUAUCUGCUUCUUCUCUUUUGUUUUCCUGUUUCCUCUUGUCUCAAAUGUAGGGGUGUUGUUAUGUUAAUUUUCUGGACCUUUGAUGCGCUUUAAUGUUGAAUUAAUGUGAAGUUUUGGGCUGAGUUCUAGAUUUGGACUAGCAAUUGUCUUUCACAUGAUAGUUAAGGUUAAUACAUGGGCAAUUGUAUGAUAAUGUGGUUUACAAGCCAUGCUAAUACCUUCUCAA